rnacentral:rRNA from 1 species
ACAUCCAGCGAAUUCGGUAGAGAUACCUUAGUGCCUUCGGGAACGCUGAGACAGGUGCUGCAUGGCUGUCGUCAGCUCGUGUUGUGAAAUGUUGGGUUAAGUCCCGCAACGAGCGCAACCCUUAUCCUUUGUUGCCAGCGGUCCGGCCGGGAAACUCAAAGGAGACUGCCAGUGAUAAACUGGAGGAAGGUGGGGAUGACGUCAAGUCAUCAUGGCCCUUACGAGUAGGGCUACACACGUGCUACAAUGGCGCAUACAAAGAGAAGCGACCUCGCGAGAGCAAGCGGACCUCAUAAAGUGCGUCGUAGUCCGGAUUGGAGUCUGCAACUCGACUCCAUGAAGUCGGAAUCGCUAGUAAUCGUAGAUCAGAAUGCUACGGUGAAUACGUUCCCGGGCCUUGUACACACCGCCCGUCACACCAUGGGAGUGGGUUGCAAAAGAAGUAGGUAGCUUAACCUUCGGGAGGGCGCUUACCACUUUGUGAUUCAUGACUGGGGUGAAGUCGUAACAAGGUAAGCGUAGCGAG